UGAGGACCUACUGAACCAUCUGCCAGUUGAUGAGAAUGAAAAGGUUGAUUUAAAUGUAGUGAUGGAUGAUGUGAAAACUUUUACAGGAGAGAAGGUUGAUGUCAGUAAUUUGAAAAAUGUGCUCAGGAAAAUGGGGCUAAUCAUGGCUGAUGAGGAGCAGAAGGAGCUGCUAAAAACUCUGCCUAGGAACAGUGAGU
rnacentral:lncRNA from 1 species